UAAAUGCUAAUUUUACAGUUAUGUCUGCAAUACUGUAUUUUUGAAAUAGGCUAAUAUGUAAAUGCUACAGGACAACAUGUAAUGACACUUAUUAUUUUAUUUUAUGUAUUUAUUUAAAAAGUCAGCUGUGGCACUAGUUUGGAAAUAAAAGCUUUGGCACUUUACAAUAACUGCAAUAAAUGCAGCCUAUUAAAUGAAUUAUAAACAUUCAUGUAGAUUCUGAUAAUGUACAUAUCUUUGUCAAAAAUGUUUGAUAAGAAACACAUUUAGACAACAUGUGUGCGUAGCGCAGUACGUGUGAUGUCACGACGUCAUCAGCAAAUUUGCGCCCGGUGCACAUGCGCAUUGCGAGUUUGCGCAGACAGGUGUCUACGGUCGGAGUGGAAUGAAGAAGUUGCAUCUGAUAAUUCUUCCAUUGUGUAGCAGCAACUGCAGCUGACAUGGAAUGAGGAUUAUCGGAUUCACCUCUCACUGAUCAUCCAAGGUGAAUUGAUGACCUCAAGCAAAUGGAUGUUGUCAUCUGAAGAGAAGGUUGUCCUGGGCCCAUGUUUAGAGGCAUUUGGGGCAUAUCUGACACAUAUCACAAUCAAGCUGCAUGCACACUUGAGUUUAUUCAGAGAGAAGUUGUGGGCAUCAGUCCGGAAACUGGAUAAAAAAUUUGCUGCUGGAAUGUGAGACAAAUAAAGGCAUGGAAUAAACCCAAAUGUAUGAACACUGCUACGAAAACUAAUGGACUUUGAAUGGCUUGCCAGUUAAUUCCAAUGGAAUUGAAGAAGAGACUCUGACAAGAUUUUCAAGUUUGUGUUUAAUUUAAAAGUUUAUCUUCAUAGAUAAGCAAUUUAAAGGUAGGCACAGUUAAAACUAUUUCUUGUGUGUUUGUUUAAACUGUAAAUUUAUGACUGAAGUUUGGUCACUAUGUAGUAAUGUGUUCCUUUGUGGUUAAUUAAAUGCUGCAGUGCUUAGUGGUAUUCGUUGUUGUAUUUCCAAGGCUAAAGCCUUAUUUUGUGAUCUGCAUUGUAUUGGAGAGUUUUGGAAACUAAUACUUAUUAUCUUAAUGCAUUGGAAAGUUUUGGACUAUUGAACAAUAAAUGCAUUUGGCUACAUCUGUGAUUUUCUGUUAUUUUAAGUGUUUUAGUUUACAUUACAUUAAAUGAUUUAUCACAGCAGUUAAAAAAAAUUACAGUAAUUUUUUUUACAGUGUAGGCUACCAUGACACAAGUUGCAGCUCCAAAAACAUUUCUUAGUCAAGUUGUAUAGCUACAAGCAGCACAAAACCAAAGAAGUGGAUUUGAUGAAGUCAUGUUGUAGUAUUGCUGAACAAUGUUCACCAGUUAGAGAUUGAGGUGGAAUGUGAGUUAACAGUGGACGUGGUCUUACUUUGCAGCAAGAGCAAAACCCUAAAAGUUUCAAUGCUGAAGAGGGAUACAUUUUAAACACUAUAAAUUUACUGAUUUAUGUAAUUUUACUUACAUUUCUACAGAAAAAUAAUCAAUAAAACAUUUACAGAAAUUUUCUGUAAAAAUAAUUUUUUAAUCUGUAAAAAUGAACGGCAAAUUUCUGUGGAAAUUAACAGCA